rnacentral:rRNA from 1 species
AUGCACGCUGGCGGCGUGCCUAAUACCUGCAAGUCGAGCGAACGGACGAGAAGCUUGCUUCUCUGAUGUUAGCGGCGGACGGGUGAGUAACACGUGGAUAACCUACCUAUAAGACUGGGAUAACUUCGGGAAACCGUAGCUAAUACCGGAUAAUAUUUUGAACCGCAUGGUUCAAAAGUGAAAGACGGUCUUGCUGUCACUUAUAGAUGGAUCCGCGCUGCAUUGGCUAGUUGGUAAGGUAACGGCUUACCAAGGCAACGAUGCAUAGCCGACCUGAGAGGGUGAUCGGCCACACUGGAACUGAGACACGGUCCAGACUCCUACGGGAGGCAGCAGUAGGGAAUCUUCCGCAAUGGGCGAAAGCCUGACGGAGCAACGCCGCGUGAGUGAUGAAGGUCUUCGGAUCGUAAAACUCUGUUAUUAGUGAAGAACAUAUGUGUAAGUAACUGUGCACAUCUUGACGGUACCUAAUCAGAAAGCCACGGCUAACUACGUG